rnacentral:rRNA from 1 species
AGUGAACGCUGGCGGUAGGCCUAACACAUGCAAGUCGAACGGCAGCACAGUAAGAGCUUGCUCUUACGGGUGGCGAGUGGCGGACGGGUGAGGAAUACAUCGGAAUCUACUUUUUCGUGGGGGAUAACGUAGGGAAACUUACGCUAAUACCGCAUACGACCUACGGGUGAAAGCAGGGGAUCUUCGGACUUUGCGCGAUUGAAUGAGCCGAUGUCGGAUUAGCUAGUUGGCGGGGUAAAGGCCCACCAAGGCGACGAUCCGUAGCUGGUCUGAGAGGAUGAUCAGCCACACUGGAACUGAGACACGGUCCAGACUCCUACGGGAGGCAGCAGUGGGGAAUAUUGGACAAUGGGCGCAAGCCUGAUCCAGCCAUACCGCGUGAGUGAAGAAGGCCUUCGGGUUGUAAAGCCCUUUUGUUGGGAAAGAAAAGCAGCAGGUUAAUACCCCGCUGUUCUGACGGUACCCAAAGAAUAAGCACCGGCUAACUUCGUG